CAGCGCCGCCCGCCCGCCCGCGCGUUGCCGCGGAGACGCCCCGUCGCCACGGCGACCAGCACGCCGCCCGCCCCGGCCGCGGCCCUCCCGGGCUAAGGCGGAGAGAUGGUAAGAACCACCUCAGCUGCCACGAGAGCCGCCAGCGUCACCGCUCAGUCCCGUGCUGCUGCGGGCCCUGCUGCAGCCGGCUCAUCACACCUUCCCCAGCACGGGCCAUGAACCGCAUCCCGGCCCUCACUGGCAUCGAGGAGAAAGCAGCUCUGCUAAACCGCAGCGCCUGCUUUCCUGCCUCGCGGAUGGCAGCCAUAGAUUAUUGUCUCUUUGCUAACACUGGUCGUAAAUGAAUGCCAGAUCAAAAAACACAGAACAGAACAGAACAACUCCACCCCACGUCUCUUUCACUGAAGCAAAGGAGAAAAUCCAGGCUAAUCCUAAGGGCCACCACAGGCACCCAUCCACCACCAAGGGCUGGUCAAGCCACCCGGGCACCAGCUCAACCUGGUGGGCAUCCUGCGACCGCACAGGCAACAUCGGCCCUCAGCUCCCCCGGGAAAAGAACGAGCCCAUUUCCCCUGAGUGAGGGAAUCGUGCCUUCAGCAAAUGGGAUAAGUGGGCACUUCAGAGCUCUCCAUUUGCUUAUCUGCAUUUUUAUUUCAGGUGCUCCUCUGCCAAAGGGCUGUUGCAGGAAGCCUGCAGGCUCUGCUCCGGAACGGGCUGAUGCCAGCAGGGGCAUGAGCAGGUAUGAUGUUCACAGGACGCCCCCAUGAAACAGGAAGCCUGUGUGUGUUUGCAGUGUACUGAAAGAAGAAAUGACAGGCUCCUCAGAAAAAUGAGACACUGGACAACCUCAGCAGCUAAGAAGAGGACUGGGGCACUUGCUGAAAGACACACCAUCUACAGAAAGAAGGACUGAUGCUUGGCUUGAACGGAACAAGGAAAGAAACAGAGUUUGGAGUAGGGGAGGAGAAAAUAAACUGGACGGAGUCUAGAAACUUCUAGAAAAAAAGCUGUGUAACUUCUACAUGGGGCUAAGUCACCAUCUUCAACCUCCAACUCCUCAGUGUUUACUAGGAAGCUAUUAUUCAUACUGAUCAUUGCAUACAAAAAGGCUGCUCAUCAAUAUUGCACAAGAGUGAUAAGUGAUCAGUGAUUAAACAUCAGUGUAUGAAUUUAUCUGACUUAACAUGCCUGGAGUGGAAGGAAACAGGGAGAAACAAUUUCUGAGCAGUGAUGAAAAUUGACAACUUGCCCAACAUCAGAUGAUUAUGUGAGGAGUUCAGAAGUAACAAGGAAGAGAAGACUUAUGAUAUUCUCAAAAGGUUAAAAAGCUGUUUUCCUCCAAAUUAUUCAUGAUCAAAUAAGCCUUUGAACAGAUCUACCAUCUAAGGGAAAAGAAAAUCUCAUUUAGGAAUGCCAAACAAGACUAUUUUGAUGACAUAGGUGUCAUGCAAUGAGGCCUGCUGUGACCUGAGUCACUGCUCUAGGUCUCCUGUGAUCUUUUUCUUGAUCAGUUUCACACAGGAAGCCUUCAUAUCUGACACACCAAAAAUAGCAUACGGUUUACAAAUGAAAAUCCUGCUUCAGAGGAGGACUGCAAUUUUUUUUCGUUUUCAAAAUGCAAAUGCGCUUUCAGUACAGUGCAACAAUGACUGAAAGCACUGGUCCCCGCAUUCCUCAGACAGAUGCUUAAGACCAGUUACAUUUAGAGAUGAUGCAGGUAGGGAAAAAAAGGGAACUAAGGUGUGUGUGUCAGGGGGAAACCACAAAAACAGCAACUGGAAUUGAAUAGCUGAAGGUGAAAAACAACCAAAAAUAACAUACAAAUACCCCUGCAGAGAAAAAUGCAUAGCUAGAAAAUUAAGUCCAAACUGCCAAAGGCCAUAUUCAAAGGUCGAACAAAAAGGAAUGGAUGUCUUAUAUUGACUCCAUUCAUCCUACCAAUACUGAAACACAAACAGCAGUCAUCUUACCUUUCAGAGCUGCAUCAUGUACCAAACCCUGCUGAAAACCAGUAACCAGCCUUUGAGGAUGGUGGUGUUGUAAGAAACUUACCACUGCUUGACCCCACAAGAGGAAGCCUGUUACACCAGCUCCAAAGCACCAGCCCAUAAAAAGGCCUGGCUGCUCCAAAGGGUCCUUCUCUCUUCAUAGUUGAACCCAAUGACCAAAAAUGCUGACAUCUGCACUGUACGGUGAAGGACUUCAGUAAUUACUGUGUUUUUCUUGCAAAAGACUCUCUCAGGCAAUAUUAAACACACCACUAACGGAAGAGUCUGAAGGAAACUUGACAAGUUAUUGCUUUAUUGCAGCCUCCAGAAUCUGGCUUUAAUGUUGCUGAUUCAUCACAUUUUUAGCAUGUUGGUAUUCUAGAUGUUUCUAUUAUAAAGUCAUGAGAUAGCGCAAAGUCAUGGAGGGGGAAUGGGUGCAAAUGAAAAACUUUUCCAGCUGUCUUUGCUUCUGGAAAAGAGGUUAGAAAAGUUCUUAAAGGCCCUAAAAUAAAGCACACAGCUCCUCCUUUCAUUGUUUUUAAAUGACAACAUGAUUUUAAGUCAAUUUAAUACCUUUUAAGAUACAAAUUUCUGUAUAAAUAGCUUCCCACAUCACUCUUAUAUCCAUUCAUAUUAUUACAAGCACACCUUUAUAUGAUAACAUUACUUGGUCUAACUUAAAAGCCAUGCAACACAAACAGAAAGUUUAUUUGAGCAAUUGCAGAAUUCCCUUCCUUUCCAAACAAAAGCAUGUCUUGGUAUACAGUGCAAGAAGUCUGAAGCUACACAUGGCAUGGACUGAAAAGCUGUUUAAACCACUCUAAAAUGGUUUCAAUUUUUCACCUGAUUCAAGAGGAAUCAAUAUAUAGUCAAAACAUAAAAAGGAAAGUUCAUUGAAGGAGCAAAUUCUUCCCCUUUUAAAUACAUGUCUAAAUUAAAAUUCGAAGUGCCAAUCCAACAAAUUUGCAAACCCUGUUUUAUAAUUAGCAAGGGGAAUAAAUAUAAGAUGAUGUGGCACACAAGUGGAUAACUAUACCAUAAUUAAGGCACGGACUCUUGUCCUAUCAGCCCAACCCAGCCAAAUACAUUUUUGGCACACUAAAUACUAUUGGAGAAUGAGUGCAACUUGAGUGCUGGUGAAAGAGCAGAAGGUAAUUAGAAAAAGUGGUUAGAUCAUAAGCAUAUUUAUUUUGAAACUAAAAUAAUACAAGUAUUUUAGCUGGUGGGACGAAGACAUUUUCCUAGACACAGAAGAAAAGGAUGAAAAAGCAAAACCUUUCCUAAAAUUUCAUUGCUACAAAUUAAAAUCAAAGCUUUCUAAAUGAAAACUUUAUUUUUUUUUCAAACAAGAAUGACUGAAAACCUUGUCUCAUAAUGGAAAGGGUCAUAAUUACAUUUCUGCUUUCCCGAAUUCAAAAUUAGUCAGCUCUAAAACCUAACAGCAAAUGACACAUCAAAGCACACUUGCUAAGCCAAGAACAAGGAACUUUAUUCCUCCAAACAAAUGCAGCACUGCCCAAGAGGCAGUGAAAUAUUACAGGCGUUCCAUCAAAA